CGCCCAACGGUUCGGCGUGCAAGGGAUACUGUCGGUCUUGAGGCCGGGAGAGGUCGGAGGUACUCCUGGGGUAGCGGUGGAAAUGCUCUAAUCCUAGGGGGACCACCAGUGGCGAAGGCGUCCGACCAGAACGGACCUGACGGUGAGGGGCGAAGGCUAGGGGAGCGAACGGGAUUAGAUACCCCGGUAGUCCUAGCUGUAAAGCAUGCGGGCCAGGUGUCUAGCGCUCCUCGAGGGCGCUAGGUGCCGGAGGGAAGCCGUUAAGCCCGCCGCCUGGGAAGUACGGCCGCAAGGCUGAAACUUAAAGAAAUUGGCGGGGGAGCACCACAAGAGGUGGGACCUGCGGUUCAAUUGGAUUCAACGCCGGAAAACUCACCAGGGGCGACAGCUGGUUGACGGCCAGGUUGACGAUCUUGCCCGACUAGCUGAGAGGUGGUGCAUGGCCAUCGUCAGCUCGUACCGUGAGGCGUCCUGUUAAGUCAGGCAACGAGCGAGAUCCUCGCCCUUAGUUGCCAUCGGUGGAAAGCCGGGCACUCUAGGGGGACCGCUGGCGCUAAGUCAGAGGAAGGAGAGGGCGACGGUAGGUCAGUAUGCCCCGAAUCCCCUGGGCUACACGCGGGUCACAAUGCGCAGGACAAAGAGAUGCAACCCCGUAAGGGGAAGCCAAACCCUUAAACCUGCGCUCGGUUCGGAUCGAGGGCUGUAACUCGCCCUCGUGAAGCUGGAAUCUCUAGUAAUCGCGUGC
rnacentral:rRNA from 1 species